GUUUGCCGACAAAUUAUAAAUAUAGUUUCAAUUUUCCCGAUUCGCCGACAGGCGACAAUCAUUUUUAUCAAAAACGGAUUUUAUGACAGCGAUAACACAGUAUGUUGUCGAUAACUGAUAAGUUUAAUGAUUAAAUGAUUUCCCAUAUAUAAAAUUCAGAGGGAGUACAGAUUGGUGAAUUUAGUUCGUUCCAGCCGUGUGUACUGUAAAGUUCAAAAUUUAAUAGUUAACCAGUUAAAAAUUAAAAUGGAAUGGUUUAAAAUAAAAUCAGAAAAAGAUCAUGAUUUAUAAGUAGUCAAUAAUUUUAUCCAUCGAGUGGAUAGAAUACGGGACAAGACCGAAUAUUAUAAAUGCAUACAAAAUUGCGGCGGUCGUGCUAUUUUGAAAAAUUUGAAAAAUAAAACUGACGUAAUAUUAUCGAAGCUUCACUAUCACCCAACACACGGAGUUGAGUUGGCUAAUCGUGGCUUUCGAAAUAAAUUGAAAGAGGAACUUACUCAAAAUCCCACGAAACCGGUACCCAAGACAUUUAAUGCAAUCAGGAUAUCUGUCAUAACUUCAGAAAUAAAAGGUGCUACAAAUUCGGAAGUUAUAGAUGCUAUUCCCGUAUUCACCAGUAUAAAAAGUUAGGGAUACAGAAAAAAAAUGAAAAUGAUUCCACCUUUACCGUCAAAAUUAUCUAAUUUAACGAUCGAAGGUGAUUGGCGUUCUACAAAUUAUGGGAGAGAUUUUUUAUUAGGUUUAUGCUCUUUUACCGAAUAAAAGCACUAAUACUUAUACAAUGAUGUUCAAUAUUAUUAAAGAAGCUGCCUUGAGAAAUGAUUUGGCUUUUAAGCCAAAAACGUUUCAAAUUUAUUUUGAAAUAAGAAUGAUUGUUGGCAUUAGAGAUUCAUUUGGAUAUAAUACAGAAAUAAAAGGAUGCCUUUUUCAUUUUGGGCAAUCCAUAUGGCGUCAAGUACAAAAAGUUGGACUACAGCACGAGUAUACACAUAAUGACGAAGUAAAGAAAACUGUUCGAAGAAUAUGUGCGUUAGCACUAGUAGGUAUCUACUGAAGAAAUAGAUGAAUGUUGGUCAAUGAUUCAUGCUGAAGCACCAGUUAAUGAAAACCUAAUGAAACGUAUGGACUAUUCUGUGGAUACAUAUUUAAAUAAUGAUGCUUGCAUAUUCAACCGGAAAAUAUGGAAUCACUUCAACAUUGAUAAGACACGGACAACUAACCACUUAGAAGGUUGGCAUGCAGCUUUAAACCGAUCUAUUAGUCGACCAAAGCCAAAUAUAUUUUUGUUGAUAAACGAGAUAAAAAAUCAACAACAACAUUUAGAGCUCGACAUUGCAGCCCAGAAAAACGGUAAUCCAAAACCAUUAAGUAAAAUGAGUUUCGGAAACUUGAAGAAAGAUUAACAAAUGCAAAGGAUAGAUUGGAAUCAAAAGAAAUUUCAUUAUUGGACUACAUAGAUAUAAUAAAAUAUCAUAUAGG